CUUGACCUUGACGUGAGCGGGUCCCUGUGACCACUUAAAUCAGAACCCCGAUUCAAAGGUGAAAUGUGAACUCCAUGCUCAGCCGGGACAGAAGCCCAGGUCUUCUGAGUCUUGACCCUUUCUCCUGUGUCUUUUGCCAGGGCCCGAGCUGUCCAGCUUCCAUCUCCAACUGGGGAGAAGGCCAGGCUGCUUUCCCGCCCUUGUUGUCAGGCCUGGAGCAACAGAUGAAAUGAUGGAAUGGAAAGGUGAUUUGGACUCUCCGUGAACGCAGCAAAGUACAGACCCGGAAGGAAUGUGUGCUGGCGAGUGCUGGGGGCUCCAGAGGUGGGCCUGCCCUGAAGGCUGACACGCAUAACAGCAUUUCCUGGCUCCCCCAGUGGAAGGCCGUGGGUUUGGUAGGAAGAAUUCAUGUGGCACCCAAAAAUCUCAUUUGAACUCCAACUCUACUGUUUGUUAGCUGUGGGGGCUCCGGAUCGGUCAACACCUUUGAACCACAAUUUCUUCAUCCUUUGAAUGAAGUUAAUAAUGGGAGGGGUGAAAUAAGGUUAUAAACAUAAAGGUGACUUGACAAAACGUAAAGACCAUAUAAAAUGUUAACUAUUGUCAUACUAAUUGAUGCUAUUGUGCCAAAUAUCAAUUUAUUGCCUGUUAGCUCCAAAUUCACCUUUUAUUGCUUGCUCUGUGAUGAUGAAGGACCCUGGAAAUAUGUUCCCUUUGUCAGCUCAUGCAAUGUUUAGCUUUUCCAGUAGAGGGCGCAGAAGGGACAGGUCAAGAAGAAGGGGCUUCACUCUGGUGGGCUGCUUCCUCCUCCUACCAUUCUGCUGCCAGAGUCACAUUUAGGGACAUCUAGUGGGGCUCCCCCUAUCAAGUUGUGGUGGCCACCCUAUGGGCAAUUUCCCUUUGACUUUCAGUGCCACCUCUAAGGGCUCACAGGCUCUCCAGCGGCCAGCUCCCAGCUUUGCCUGCAUCACGGUAGGUUUCCAGCUUGUCAGUCAUGCCUGUGGUUUCUUGCCUCCCAUCUUUGGCCCGCAAGCACCACGGAGGAGCCUUUCUUUCUUACCAAUUCCAGCUGUGGGCCCCUGCCCAUCUGUCUCAGCCUCCUUAUACCUGGGAGGGGUAUUUCAGCUGUAGUUCCCUGUCCACCACCCUCGUCCUGGUGUCUGGGCAUCAGCUUUGACCUGGGACAAGCCACUGAGCUUCUCUGCUGUCCACAGAGUACAACCUAGACCUUCUCCAAUGAGGAGAGUCCCAUCCUUGGAGAAAGCCCUCUGCCUUCCCAGUUUAUUUCUCCCACAGAUGCCCUCCAUCAACCUUAAGGAAUUCUUAGGUGACUCAUCACUCCUUUAUAGAUGAACUGUGGCUACUGUUCUGGUUAGUCAUUAUUUAUGUUACAUUUUCUCUGUUCAAAUAACUGUAUGCAUUCUGUCUCCUGAUUGUGCCCUGGCUGAUGGAGAACUGUUGUGGCAAGUAGUCUCAGGAGAUAGACCCACAAAGAUGAGAUUUCAGGAUUGGUUUGGUUGUGUCUUUAAACUCGAAUGUAGUGCUGGGUUUUUUGUUUUUGUUUCCUAAUGGGAAAUGAGAAGCUAGUGGUCCAUGGCAUGCAGUGGCCUGCUGGUUAGUCAAGCUGUCACCUGUGGUUGAAUGUGGUGAGGUGCCAACUGAAGACAUACCUUGGGAGCCCAAGUGGCUCCUGCACAUGACCAUUUGGUAGUAAUGAUGACCACGCGAGCUGUGGUGUGGGAGGACUCUUCUGAGUACAAGCGAGCAAUCACAGAACAAAAAAAAUGACAAACUCUAGUCCUUUAACUAUCGACUCAAGUCAUAUGUUAAGGAUCAGAAAGCCCCUAAAAUAUGCUGUUUCUUCUUAUAACCACAGGGCUACUAUUAGGAAAAUCAACAAAAAAAUGUAUUGGGCAGGUUGCUGCAUUAAAAUGGCAGUUGCAUUCAAA